AAAGGAUUAGUUAAUAUAUAACAUUAGAAUGUCAAACUGAAAUAAUCGAAAAGAUAUCCUUUU
rnacentral:tRNA from 1 species